AGGAGGAGGGGCCAUGGCUGAGGCGGAAGGUCGGGGUCUUUAGGGUCAACGCCCUCUCGUGGAAACUAUGGAUUCACUUUGCUGUGCCGGGAAACGAAUACAGCAUUGGCGGGGGAAUGCUGAGGAGAUCCUUAUAAAUAAAAAUAUGACGUCUGCUUUGUGGAGCUGGGAGGACACAGCUAAAGGAAGAACUUGCGACUUGGGUCACAGAAAAUCCCUUUGAACAAAAGAGAACCUUGUGCAGGACUUGAAAACUACAGAAGAGGUGAGAAGCAAUAGAUAUCUUUCUCGGCAUCAUUUGAAACCUGCAAGAAAGCUUGGCUUCGGCUGAUAUUUGUGUGGAUUGGAUUUUUUAAGAACCAGAACAGAAGAGACCAGUGCACCCACAUUUUCCUGCCGUGAGUGAUGAAGAGGAGGAAGAAGAAGGGUGACUGGAGAAAACAAUAGGAGACCUGAUUUCUAGUUUUCAUACUGCUGCUGCUUGCUGUGUAACCCCGGAGAAGUCAGAAAACCUCUCUGACUGUCAACUGGCAAUGUAAAGGAACUGGUCUUGCUCUGCCUUCCAGGUGCGUAAUGAUGUGAUUGGUUGGAAUAUCCAAGUACAUUCCAAUAUCCCCUCUGAUGAUAAAGCUCUGUAUUGCCUUGGACCUGGUCAUCAGAUGGACAGGAUAAAAAAGAGGGAGAGAAAGGAAAUAGCCCAGUUAGGAAACGGAAAAUAAGGGUCUGGGGCAAAACAAAGUAGAUCGUUUGAACUCGGAAGCCGAUGCUGAGGGUAAGUUUAAAGACCCCUGAAAGUAUCCAAUCUGUGUGCCCGGAGCCUAGGAUCCUACAUGAAACAGGGCUCUGCCUCUGCCCCCAGGAGCCCGAUGACCCACUGUCCCCAGUCAGCAGGUGGUCCCUGCACUUGUGGCCUGAAUUGCAGAGUGAGACCAACUCUUUAACCCUGCUGGACAAGCCAGUACCUCGACCACGGGCCCUACCUGAGCCCCCUGUGCUGCUGUGACAGGGGAAAAAGAAGAGAUAGAGGUUUCUAGCCAUGUGAGAAAAUGACCAGGUGGGCAGACGGUAAAGCUGCAUUUUGAUAAAAAGAAGUUUUAAAAAAUUAUAAUCCACCCAAUAUUUUGCACAUAGACUAUCUUUUAAUUCUCCUCUUUACAUCAUGUUUCCCUAUAAGCUUCUGGAGCCAAGGCCAAGUCCUGAGGCUCAGGGUACAGGGGAGGAGCCAAGAGGAAAAGACCAGGGCUGCUGAAAAGUCUCAAAGCUCAUUUUCUUUUUUCAGGAAAGCUGUGUCUUUAAGGGUCAAGUUUUGUGGGGAAAGGAAGGGGUUUCUAUAGGACAAAAACCCACACAAAGAUAGAGAAGUGGUGGAUCUCACCCUUGGGUUCUCCUAUAGGUGAUGGAGAGAGGUGACUCAGAACAGGAAGUAGGGGGGAGCUCUUUCGGGAUUGGGAAAGUCAAGGGGACGGGAUCUGGGCUCCCUCUCGGAGUCAGCUGGAAGACACUGGAGAAGGUCCAGAGUUUUCCACCUGCACCCAAGGGAGAAGAGAGCAUUUACUUGUGACUUUGGCAAGUAGGUCAGAGGAGAGUCACAAGGAUCGGACUCACUUGGGGUAGAAAGCUGGGGGCUGGGACGACUGAGUCUCUAAAUUCUUCAGUGACAUGAGUCCUGCUGAGCCACAUGGCAUUGGGUUGUAAGGAUGUACCACAUUUUAUUGGAUAAAUGAUCUAUUCUCAUGCCUUUGGGUAUUUCCAACUUCUUCACAAAAUGAUCCUUUUAAAGAGGAACUCCAGGGCAAUACUGGGAAACAUUUACUGGUCUAUCUUUGCUCUCAGUGAAGCAGAGUUCCUCCAUCGGUGGGUCAUAGCUCUGUGGUCUAGACACGUGGUACUUCGAAACAACACAAAACAACACAGACCACCUGCACUGGAACCUCCAGAGGUGGGGGUUGUGUGUUUAAAAGGCUCUGUAGGAAAUUCUGGUGGGCACCCAGGUCUAAGGUUUUUACUAACGAGGUCACUGAGAUGUUUCUGUGUAUAGAUUUAAAAAUCGGUUUGAUUCUCAGCCUUUUGCCCUUGAAGUAUAAUCUUAGGUAAGGUUCUGAAUUUUUCUUAGAAAAACACACAGAGCAAAAACCAAGCCUGGUGGUGUUUGCUGAGGGGCAGUUUUCUCCGAGCCCCCUCACCUGGGUUUAUGCUCCAAUGAGGAGGAUACUAGCUGAAGCGUCUGUGGAGAGGGGCUGUGUUCUUGUUAUUUUCUGUGUUCAGUGAAUAUCCAGAGAAUCAUGUAGGUGGAAAUUAGGUAGAAUUUCCCAAACGGUGCUCCAUGGAUCAGUCAUGAGAGAGAGAAAGGGGUUUGAGAGGAAGUGGCAAAAUAAAUUUGUAAAAUGAAGCAAAUAUUCUCUGGAAGGUCAAAAUUGGUAUCAGAAGUAUUUAAAGUGGUGAGAAGUCCUACAUGAAGAAUUAUUAUUUUUUAAUUUUUUUAACCAGAUGAGACCCUUUAUCUUUUUUAAUUUAAUUUAAUUUAAUUUUACUUUUUUUGCUUUUUAGGGCCGUACCUGCAGCAUAUGGAAAUUCCCAGGCUAGGGGUCAAAUAGGAGCUGUAGCUGCCAGCCUCAGCAACACGGGAUCCAAGCCACAUCUGCAACCUAUACCGCAGCUCGUGGCAAUGCUAGAUCCUUAACUCACUGAAUGAGACCAGGAAUCAAACCCAUGUCCUUAUGGAUAGUAGUCGGGUUUGUUACCCGCUGAGCCACAGUGGGAACUCCUGCAUUUACACAAAUGUUUAUGAUCCGUUUUUAGUUAGUUUUUGUGAAAGACGUAAAGUCAGUGUCUAUAUCAUUUUUUGCAUGUGGAUUUCCAGUUGUUGCAGUGUUUUUUUUUUCUUCUUUUUUUUCUUUUUGGCUACACUCACAGCAUGAGCCUGAGCCAGGGACAGAACCUGAGCCACAGCAGUAACAACACCAGAUACUUAACCCCUCUAAGCCACCAGGGAACUCCCAGUAUUGUUUUUAUGAAAAUGCUCUGUUUGUGCCAUUGUAUUUCCUUUGCCACUUUUUGUAAGAUUAACUCAUUAUAUUUAUGUGGGUAAAUUUUGGGCCUCUAUAUUAUGUUCUGUUGACCUAUUGUCUGAUAUUUCUCCAAUACCAUACUUUAUAGCUGUAGCUUUAUAGUACGCCUUGAAGCCAGGUAGCCUUAGUCCCCCAGCUUUGUUCUACAGUAUUGUGUGGGCUAUUCUGGGUCUUUUACCUCUCCAUACAAACUUUUGAGUCAACUUUUGACAAGAUUCACAUAAUAAAUUGAUGGGAUUUUGAUUGGAUUUGCAUUGAAUCUAUAGAUCAAGUUAGGAAAUACCAAGAUCUUGGCGAUAAAAAUUGAGUCUUCCUAUACAGGAAUAUGGAAUAUCACUCCACUUUAUUUUUUUUUAAUUUUUCUUUGUUAUCUUUAUCAGUUUUGUAGUUUCCUUCCUGUAUAUCUUGUGCUUAUUUUGUUAGGUUUACACCCAAAUAUUUCAGUUUUGGGGUGCUAAUGUAAAUGAUAAUAUAGGCACACCUCAUUUUAUUGCUCUUUGCUUUACUGUGCUUAACAGAUAUGCUUUUUUUUUUUUUUUUAACAAAUGAAGGAGUGUGGCAAGCAAAUCUAUAGGCAGCAUCUUUCCAACAGAAUUUGCUCACUUUGUGCCUCUGUGUCAUGUUUUGGUAACUCUCUUAAUAUUUCAAGCUUUUUAUUAUUUGUUAUGGUGACCGGUGGUUUGUGGUCCUCGAUAUCACUGCUAUGACUUGCUGAAGGCUCAGAUGACAGUUAGCAAUUUUUAGCAAGAGCAUUUUUAUUUUUUGCAUUCAUUAUUUUAUUUAUUUUUAUUUUCAUUUUUUUGUUUUAUCAUUUAGCUUGGAAGUGGUAGAGUUUAUUUUUUAAUUUUUUUUAAUUUUCCCAACACAUUAUUUUUUUUCUACUGUACAGCUGGUGACUGAGUAUUUUUAAAUUAAGGUGUGUAUAUUGUCUUUUUAGACAUAAUGCUAUUGCACACAGAUUACAGUAUAGUGUAAACAAAAUUUUCAUGUACACUGGGAAACCAAACAAUUUUGUGACUCUUUUUAUUGCAAUAUUUGCUUUAUUGUGGUGGUCUGGAACUGAACCCAGGAUAUGUUUUAUGCGUUUAUUUGAACUUGCACUUGUCCAUUGCUAGUAUACAGGAAAGCGAUUGGAUUUUUAUACUAACUUUGUAUGCUGCAGCUUUGCUAUAAUUACUUAUUAGUUUCAGGGUUUUUCUUGCUUUCAGAUUUUCCACAUAGGUGAUCAUGUUGUCUGCAAUAAAAUACAGCUCUAUUGGUUCCUUCUCAAUAUAUAGUCUUUAUAUUUCCUUUUAAUGUUUUCUUGCAUUAACUUGGUCUUCCAGUACAAGAUGGGACAUCCUGCAAUUGUUCCUGAUAUUGGCAGAAAAGCUUUGAAUUUAUUGCUGAGAGUUUUUAAUCAUGAAUUGGUGUUGGAAUUUGUAAAACUCUUUUUCUGCAUCUUUGGAUAUGUCAUGUGAUUUUUCUCCUUUAGCCUGUUAAUGCAAUGGACUAAAUGCAUUGAUUUUUGGACAACUGUGUAACUUAGAAGAAUUCCACUUGGUCAUGCUGUAUACUUACUUUUUAUUUAUUGUUAGAUUUGAUUUGCUAAUAUUUUGUUAGAACUUUUACGUCGCUCAUGAGAGAAAUUGAUCUCUGAGAGAAACUUUCUUGUCUUUUUCCAUUUUGAUGUUAGGUUUUUGAUAUUAGUGUAAUGCUGGUCUCAUAGAGUGUGUUAGGAAGUAUUCUCUCUGCUUGUAUCUUCUGUAAGAGAUUGUAGAGAAUUGAUAUAAUUUCUAUUUUAAAUGCCUGGUAGAAUUCACCAGUGAACUCCUCUGGGCCUGGUGCUUUCUAUUUUGGAAAGUUAUUAAUUGUUGAUUGAAUUUAUUUAAUAGUUAUAGGUCUAUUCAGGUUGACUAUGUAUUCUUUUUUUUUUUUGUCUUUUUGUCUUUUGUUGUUGCUAUUUCUUGGGCUGCUCCCGCGGCAUAUGGAGGUUCCCAGGCUAGGGGUCAAAUCGGAGCUGCAGCCACCGGCCUACGCCAGAGCCACAGCAACGCGGGAUCCGAGCCGCGUCUGCAACCUACACCACAGCUCACGGCAAUGCCGGAUCGUUAACCCACUGAGCAAGGGCAGGGACGGAACCCGCAACCUCAUGGUUCCUAGUCGGAUUCGUUAACCACUGCGCCACGACGGGAACUCCCGACUAUUUAUUCUUGUGUGAGUUUUGACAGACUAUGUCUUUCAAGAAAUAGGCCCACUUCAUUAGGUUAUCACAUUUGUGGGCAUAGAAUUAUUCAAAAUAUUUCUUCAUUAUAUUUUUCAUGUCCAUAGAAAAUGUAGUGAUGUCCUCUCUUUCAUUUCUAAUAUUAGUAAUUUGUGCCUUCUUUCUUUUUUCCUAGUUAGCUAACUAGAAGUAUUGAUUUUAUUGAUCUUUUCAAAGAACCAGCUUUUGGUUUUGUUAAUUUUCUCUAUUGAUAUCCAGUUUUCACUUUCUUUGAUUCUACCCUAGUUUUUAUUAUUUAUUUUCUUCUGCUACUUUGAAUUUAAUUUAUAUUUUUCUAGUUUCCUAAGGUGGAAACUUAAAUUACUGAUUUUAGAUCUUUCUCCUUUUCUCAUAUAUGUAUUCAAUAGUAUAAAUUUUCCUUGAAACUGCAUUUUUUGCAUCCCACACAUUUGAGAAUUUGUAUUUUUGUUUUGAUUUAGUGCAAUGUAAUUUUAAAAUUCUUUGGAGAUUUCUUAUUUGACCAAUAUGUUAUUUAGAAGUAUAUUAUUUAACCUCCCAGUGUUUGGGGAUUUUCUAGACAUCUUUCUGUUAUUGAUACAUAGUUUAUUUCCACUAGGGUCUGAGAUUUGACAUUGUGUGAUUUCUCGUCUUCUAAGAUGUGUUUUAGGGCCCAGAAUGUGGUUUAUCUUGGUGAAUGUUCCAUGUAAACUUAUGAAGAAUAUGUAUUCUGCUGUUGUUGGAUCACAUAUGAUGUAAUCUAAGUGUCAAUUUUAUUCAGUUGAUUGAUGAUGCUGUUGAGUUCAAUUAUACCUCACUGAUUUUCUGCCUGCUGGAUCUGUCAAUUUCUGAUAGGGGGAUAAUAAAGUCUCCCAGUGUAAUAGUUGAUUUAUGCAAUGAUCUCUGAA
rnacentral:lncRNA from 1 species